rnacentral:lncRNA from 1 species
CUUUGCAGCAUCAGGGGAGGGGGAUGUGGGGUCCUGCAGAGUGGGAGUGGCUUGGGUCUCUGACCCUGUCACAUUUCUGCCGCCCUACUUCCUCUUGCUCUUGUUUUUGUUUUGUUUUUUACUUGAAUUAACUUAUCCUAUAUCUGGUCUCCACCCCUCUUCCCCAGUUUUCCCGUGUAAAUCUGGAGAGACCACCUUGCUUUAACAGUAUCUGGGAACCACCCUGCCCCCCAAGUUUGUAUCAUUCCAGGCUCUGCAGGAAACAGUGCCUCUUACCCAGUUCUUCCCCAGAGUGUCCCCUGGAUGGAAGUCCUUUCUCAAAGGGCACAGGGCCUUCUUGAUUGUACCCUAACCCUAAGCUCCCACUUAGCAAACCUAAGUUCUUAGAGCCCUGCUCUCCAGUGGACCCUAAUAGGGUUUCUCUGGGGGGCACAGCUUUGACCCCAGAGAGCCAUGGUGCCAAACUCCUGCAGGACAGCAGCUAACCUUAUUCUCUGUCCCCUCCCAUAGCCCUGAAUCCCUGGGCAAGGAUGCACCUGUGACAAUAGUCCCAGCAUUAGUAUUUUCCCUGCAGUGUUACUAGCUUCCCUUUGUUACAGCUGUACUUUCCUGCUAAACACACACACACACACACACACACACACACACACACACACACACACACACCCACACACCCACACACACCCACACACCCACACACACACACCCCAAGCAGGAAGUCCCAUCUUCUACCCAGGAGUCUUCACUGCUAUUUCUAACUUGUGUGAGCACAUGAUCAUAGGCAAACUGCUUUGACCACUUUUCCAGGGCUGUGGACAACUCCUGAGGGGAAGGGCAGGAUAGACCCCUGAGGUUGGAGAGACCCUUGUCACUUACCCUCAUCCUUUCUGAGCCGUUCAUUCCCACCCUUACCCGUGAAGGAUGCAUGCUGACUUGAUGAUAUGCGGACCCCGACCAACCCUGUGGUCUAAGAUAUUUUUCUUUUCUGCUCCAGCUACCCCAGUCCUGCUAACUUCCAGCUCUAGAGACCUGUGGCCUCAUCUCUUCUUAGGGGAAGGGCCAGCAGCUCCUUUUCAUGCCCUGCCUUAAGUCCAGUUCUUUGCCUCAGGGGUCUCUUUUCCAUGGCCUUCCAGGGUCCCAUCCUCUUCUCCCUGCCUCGCUUUCUAGGCUCUGUAUUGGAGUGAGGGACCAGGAUUCCUGCCUUUUGUGGCUCCUCACCCCAUCUUAACUAACAGAGUCUUUGCACCGAAUCUGAAUCUCAGUAAUUUAAAGCUCACUUUGAGCAGGAUUCACUAACCCUUUCUUGGAUAUUUUCAGAGCCAAUUUGAGCCUUUAAAUCAGACACCUUUAAAUUAUUUUUUAUCACAAGGAAUAGAAAUAGGAAAUAUCCACAUCCAUCCUUCCGGGAUCCCUGUGGAGGAUGGUCCUGAGGGCUGGGGUGGAGCAAUGCCUCUGGGCCACUUCUGUAAACCAGUCCCAAAGCCCCUGCAUAGGCCCUCCGCUUCCCUGGAAAUGUUACUGGCAUUUGCUGUGCCAAGCACACGCCGAGAUUUGAUCCCCAUUGAUCUCGAUGAGAGGCUGUGGGAUCCACAGCCCACCUACCCCUUACUAAGGGGCUCAUCCGUUAGCGCUUAUUUUGUUCCCACGGGAAUGGGCUUUUAGAGCUGACUUAGACAGGGCCUCAAGGUGAGCCUAGGGCUGUGGUAGAGGUUCCUGGAUAGACUCCAGAGAAAUAAAUCUGUACGUGGGUCAUGGGAUGGUAUCUUCUUUUUUUUUUUUUUAAAAAAAAGGAAGAAAAUCAGGUUUCAGAGGAGUCCUUUUUGGGUCCCGUGAAUACUUCACUACCCUGGAAUAGCAGGGCCUGGAUGGUGAUUGGGGUUGCUGCCUUUGUGGGCAAGAAUGGGGUGUGGUUGUUGGUUUGAGCAGUGGGCGGGGGGUGGGCAGAAGGAAAAUAUUUGGGAUCUUAGUUGAUGCCCUAGGGUUAGGGGCAUGGAGUGUUUAUUUUAAGAACCUGCCAUGUUUUUAAAUCACUGUGAUAUUUUCAUUCCUUUUCCCUAAAACGAAGAGAAAGAGUUUCCUUGACUCCCUGUCUAAGCACUAAGGGCUGUGACUAAGAAUGGUAGCGUUUUGGUCCUUUGUGUCAGAACUGUGGUAUCUUUGUCUACUUCGGUUGUUAUUAGGUUUUAAAAUGUCAGGAUGAAUUGUCAGGUGUAUAGCUCUGUGCGUGCGUGCAUGCGUGUGCGUGCGUGCGUGCGUGCGUGCGUGCGUGCGUGCGUGCGUGCGUGCGUGUGUGUGUGUGUGUGUGUGUGUGUGUGUAGAGAGAGAGAGAGAGAGAGAGAGAGAGAGAGAGAGAGAGAGAGAGAGAGAGAGGAGAGAGAGAUGUGUGUCUGUGUGUCUGUCUUUUGCUUCUCCAGAAUAGGACGCUGUCUUCAUGCUGUGAACUGCUAUGGGUGGGUAGCUGACUCAGUUCCUCUGAGCAGCCCCUCCCCCUCCAAUCCUGCCCCAGCACUCACUCGGUUCUAUUCUUCCACUGUAGGAAUGUGCCUACCCAGCCCAGCGCCAUCCCCAUAGGGGAUGCUUUGCUGGGCUACUUCAGUGCGCUUGUUUCUCUGUCUGUGUGGCAUCCUAGCUCAUCUCCACUGCACAACUUGGCCUUUGUUUUGAUGACCUUGGAGUGCUUACCUCUCUUCCCUCCACACCAGGACACCGUGCCUCAGUCCUUCACCUACCUCGCCACUCUGUCACUUGUCCCCAUUGGUCCCUUUCUAGUUUCUCUUUGUUUUUAUUUAUGUCCCUCCAAUCUCUCUCCCUUCGAACCCCUUCCUCCCAUCUCUUACCUUAUGCUUUUGCUCCUAGCCAGCCACAGCGUUCCCACAGCAAACCCUGAUUUAAGGAGACAGGAUUCCUGGGAAGUCCUCACAAACAAAUGUUUGUUUCCCAGGGUUUGUGCUUUCCCUGUUGGUUGGAUCUAGCUCUCCCUUGUCCCUCCCCGGUGUCUGUCAACCCCCCCCCCCCCCCGUUCUCCCUGUGGGGCAACAUCUACUGAUGGAUUCUGUUCUGUGUGUGAUUGUUGUAAUUUGUUCUUCUGUGUGCAAAAGGAAGGGACUUCUUGAGUCUCUUCCAAGUGAGAUUGUAAAUGUAGAAUUUUCCAUGGUUGGAUCUAGACUUUUUUAAAUUCUGUUUUCUUCCCCCCUUUCAUUUUAUCUUCCUUUCUUUCUUCCUUUCUUCCUUCCUCCCUUUUUCUUUCCUUCCUUCCUUCCUUCCUUCCUUCCUUCCUUCCUUCCUUCCUUCCUUCCUUCCCUCUCUUUCUUCCUCUUUCUUCUUGGUUACAGAGCUGAGACCUUGUGCAUGCAUGUAGAAAAUUGUAAAAUGUAAAUUUUUUUUAAUAUAUAAAAAGCUUGUUUUUACAGUUUGCAGUGGAUUAAACAUUAUGGCAAUUUUAGGGAUUUUUUCUUAAACAUAGGAACUAAAACUGUACAAAUUUUUUUUAUAUAUAAAAUAAAGACAUUUGACUUUUGUGGGGGUAUUCUGUUGCUUUUCUUUUUUCAAGUGGGAC